rnacentral:rRNA from 1 species
GAUGAACGCUAGCGGCGUGCCUAACACAUGCAAGUCGAACGUGAGAGGGUACUUGUAUCCUUGAAAGUGGCGGACGGGUGAGUAAGACGUAGGUGACCUGCCUUGAAGUGGGGGAUAACCAUUGGAAACGAUGGCUAAUACCGCAUAAGCUGGUGACGAUGGGAAUCGUUAACAGGAAAGCUUUAGUGCUUUGAGAGGGGCCUACGGCCGAUUAGCUAGUUGGUGAGGUAAAGGCUCACCAAGGCGAUGAUCGGUAGCUGGUCUGAGAGGACGAUCAGCCACACGGGAACUGAGACACGGUCCCGACUCCUACGGGGGGCAGCAGUGAGGAAUAUUCGGCAAUGGGGGCAACCCUGACCGAGCAACGCCGCGUGGAGGAUGACGGUUUUCGGAUUGUAAACUCCUUUUCUCAGGGAAGAGCGAGGACGGUAC